GGAGGGUCUGGGAAUUGGUGAUCCCAGCUGGAUUAAGGCUCCAGUAUCGCUGUCAGGCAUUGCGGGUUCGAAUCCCGCGCCCUCCG
rnacentral:tRNA from 1 species